rnacentral:rRNA from 1 species
GACGAACGCUGGCGGCGUGCUUAACACAUGCAAGUCGAACGAUGAAGCUGGAGCUUGCUCUAGCGGAUUAGUGGCGAACGGGUGAGUAACACGUGAGCAAUCUGCCCUUGACUCUGGGAUAACUGCGGGAAACUGUAGCUAAUACCGGAUACUUUCACCGGGGGGCAUCCUCUGGUGAUGAAAGAAUUUCGGUCAAGGAUGAGCUCGCGGCCUAUCAGCUUGUUGGUGAGGUAACGGCUCACCAAGGCGACGACGGGUAACCGGCCUGAGAGGGUGACCGGUCACACUGGGACUGAGACACGGCACAGACUCCGACGGGAGGCAGCAGUGGGGAAUAUUGAACAAUGGGCGCAAGCCUGAUGCAGCAACGCCGCGUGAGGGAUGAAGGCCUUCGGGUUGUAAACCUCUUUUAGCAGGGAAGAAGCGAAAGUGACGGUACCUGCAGAAAAAGCACCGGCUAACUACGUGCCAGCAGCCGCAGUAA